AAAUCUGUGUUUGUACCAUAUGAAAAUGUUUAAUAUUUGUAUUAGUAGUAAUAAUAAUAAAUUACGGAUUGCACCCGACAAAACAUUAGAGAAGAAGAAGAAGCUUACGUCAUUCGACGCGACACUUUCCACGGUCGGAGCUGAUCCGGAUCACAUACACAGGAGUCACUCAUUGAAGAUGAAUCACAGCUGGACAGGGAUCUUCGAAUAAUUGAGAGACACCAUGGUGUAAAACGAAGGUG